rnacentral:rRNA from 1 species
GUAGGGUGCAAGCGUUAAUCGGAAUUACUGGGCGUAAAGGGCGUGUAGGCGGGGACGCAAGUCAGAUGUGAAAACCACGGGCUCAACCUGUGGCCUGCAUUUGAAACUGUGUUUCUUGAGUACUGGAGAGGCAGACGGAAUUCCUAGUGUAGCGGUGAAAUGCGUAGAUAUUAGGAGGAACACCAGUGGCGAAGGCGGUCUGCUGGACAGCAACUGACGCUGAGGCGCGAAAGCGUGGGGAGCAAA